GGAAUAAAGAGCAUAAUGUAAUCAUUCCUAACAUUCCUAAGAAACACCACUGGUAACAAAGUUGUGAGUGUUUGUAGAGUGUUCUGCUAUGCGACCUUGGAUAAUGUAUUUAACAUCUCUGAACCUGAUUUGUUGGCAUUUGUAAGACGGGAAUAAGUAAUGUAUACGUCUGCUAUGAUGGCAGAGCUGUGGGGCUCCCCUUUGGAUCCUGCUCAUAGAGACUUCAAGUCCUACACAGAAGUUUCACUACUAGUGACUGGACAUUCCUGACCUCUCUAAUGACAAUCUAUGGAGCGUGCAUGAAUUUGUGAAGAUCUGCUCGUUGAGAGAAAUGAUAAGUAGUUUUGGAAACAAGCAUAAAUUAAAUGUGUGGGAGUAAAAGAAGUUGAAAUUUUAAAGCUUGAACUACAUUUUAAAGGAAUUUGAGUUUCAUUCUCAAAGUUUCUUCUUCAAAUUUCAUCCUUACAUUUAAAGAAGAGUCUUUGAUGGACUUAGCCUGAAAUAAUAAAAGAAGAGGUUGUAGUAAAAACAGAUUGAUAUUCAAUUCUGCAAUUAACUAGCUGUGUGACCAUAAGGAAGACAUUUGCAUAUCUUCAGCUUUAAUUUCCACAUCUGACAAAAGUAAAAUUAAUAAAUGCAAUUAUUAUUCAUUUUAUAUUUACUUAGCUUGGAAGCAAAAUUAUCAGAUAUAUUCCAUAAUAGUAACUCUUGAAGAUGGUGACUAGUCUAGAUGAGGCCAGAGAGGGAGAGAGCCUGGUCUCAGAGAAAAAGGAGAAAGGCUGACAAGGCAAGAGAUGUUUAAGAGGACACCAGAGUGGAACUUCAGGUUUGGGCUGUCAAUCAAACUUAGAAGUAAACCCAGCGGCACAUUUACCAAGUGAUAUGGAAGGCUACAAAACAGUGGGUGUACAAUGACGGCAUCGCAGAGGCUUCCGACCAUCAGAUCUUGUUUUUCAUUGUCCAGUCACUACACAGGACGUUUUUGUCAUAGAAGACACAAAUUAACACGUGGGUUACACCAUCACAGGGAAGCUUCAGGGUUUAGGAUCCCCGAUCUUAAAUAUUUUGCUUGUCACUCAGUACCAGGAGGUAUGCAUACCUCUAUCUCAUUUUUAAAUCUCAGCUUUAAGCCAAAAAUCAAAGGAUACACACUAAGCAAUCUUCACAACCAGUCGCAGCAUGUUUAG
rnacentral:lncRNA from 1 species